rnacentral:rRNA from 1 species
UCUAGGUGACCUCGGAUCAGGUAGGGAUACCCGCUGAACUUAA